rnacentral:lncRNA from 1 species
AAAGAAAGAAAAUAGGUAUAUAUGUAAUUAGUACUACUACCGCAUGUUUUUUUACGGAACUUUUACAACUACUACUGCUCUUGUUCUUUGAUAAAAAAAAAUGUUAAUAGUUUUUUUUUUGAGAAAAAAAAAUUGAUAAUAGUUGUAAAAUACGAUAGUUUUACAGUAGAGAACCGUACAAAGUGGAAUGAUAAACAAGGACCAACUAAAAUCACUAGCAUUAAAUAUUACAUUGAUUAGACAUAUAGAACCUGUCACAUUGGUACAAAACUAAGCAUCAAAGGCUCGAUGUAGAGUGGAGAUGCGUUGCACCAAAUCAAAGAUGCUUUUAUUCUACCACACUAAAAAGCAAAGAGUGAAAAAACCUGAAAAGCAAAAACGAAUUAGUACUCAUAGCACAUGAUAACGUUGCCUCAGUUAAUUUUAAUCAUACGAUUAUUUAGACAAAAAAAAAAAGAAAUUGUCUCAUCGAGGGUGUCCAUCACCUAAACUGCACACACGAAUCCAAUUCCUCCGCGCCAAUUGGGUGGUUUCCCAAUCUCUAAACCAAAUCUUGCAUCACAGAAAGAAGCAUCUUUACGUACCGUUUUUUUCCGACAUGUAUCGCAGAAGUUGCAUCUUUCAACAGUUCUUUCUUCAAUCCCACAACUGUUUUUUUUAACAUGUAGUAAUCAUGAAGCAACCGUGCACUAAGUAUUGUACUACGCAGUAACGAAUUAUAAU